GCUAGGAUACCCGUGUUGUGUGAGUAAAUGAAAUGAGGUUACUUUACGCGGCUAGAAUAAAAAUAAAAGUUGCGCCUGUGCAAUAAAUUGUAAGGCAUUGGUUAGAUAUAAUCAAGACAACCACCCCUAUCUCUUUGACUUCACUCAUAACACGUGUGGCCACGGCCAUUGGUGCGUUGGAAGGGCAAUAUCUUGAUUAUAUUCAAAUUCCACGCACCAUGAUUAAUGAAACCUAUCUUAUCCAAUGUCACCAUUUGAAAAGAGAUAAUGCGGGCGGUCUUGUGUUUUAUUUACCAGGGUAUACAAACGUAAUCCGGUUACCUAACCCGGGUCUACGCUUGUAUAACUCUGGGAGACUAACCUUUGAUCUGCAGACAGCUGAAACUGCGCGAAGGCGUAGUGUUUCUGGCAGGGACAUCGGCAGAUCCAGCUCCCAGCCACCACCCUCCUAUACACAGCCGAUCUACCAGUC
rnacentral:lncRNA from 1 species